rnacentral:rRNA from 1 species
GGAAUUUUCCGCAAUGGGCGAAAGCCUGACGGAGCAACGCCGCGUGAGGGAUGAAGGCCUCUGGGCUGUAAACCUCUUUUAUCAAGGAAGAAGAUCUGACGGUACUUGAUGAAUAAGCCACGGCUAAUUCCGUGCCAGCAGCCGCGGUAAUACGGGAGUGGCAAGCGUUAUCCGGAAUUAUUGGGCGUAAAGCGUCCGCAGGCGGUCUUGUAAGUCUGUCGUUAAAGCGUGGAGCUUAGCUCCAUUUCAGCGAUGGAAACUGCAAGACUAGAGUGUGGUAGGGGCAGAGGGAAUUCCCGGUGUAGCGGUGAAAUGCGUAGAUAUCGGGAAGAACACCAGUGGCGAAGGCGCUCUGCUGGGCCAUAACUGACGCUCACGGACGAAAGCCAGGGGAGCGAAAGGGAUUAGAUACCCCAGUAGUC